rnacentral:rRNA from 1 species
UACGGAGGGGGCAAGCGUUGUUCGGAAUUACUGGGCGUAAAGGGCGUGUAGGCGGCUAAAUAAGUCAGACGUGAAAGUCCUGGGCUUAACCUGGGGAUUGCGUAUGAGACUGUUUAGCUAGAGUGCGAGAGAGGAGAGUAGAAUUCCAAGUGUAGAGGUGAAAUUCGUAGAUAUUUGGAGGAAUACCGGUGGCGAAGGCGGCUCUCUGGAUCGUAACUGACGCUGAGGCGCGAAAGCGUGGGGAGCAAACAGG